GCCGGUGUGGCUCAGUUGGUAGAGCAACUGAUUCGUAAUCAGUAGGUCGGUGGUUCGAGUCCACUCACCGGCA
rnacentral:tRNA from 2 species